UACAGAGGGUGCGAGCGUUUAAUCGGAAUUACUGGGCGUAAAGCGUGCGUAGACGGUUACGUAAGUCGGGUGUGAAAGCCCCGGGCUCAACCUGGGAAUUGCAUUCGAGACUGCGAAGCUAGGGUGCGGAAGAGGGAAGCGGAAUUUCCGGUGUAGCGGUGAAAUGCGUAGAUAUCGGAAGGAACAUCAGUGGCGAAAGCGGCUUCCUGGUCCAGCACCGACGUCAGGCACGAAAGCGUGGGGAGCAAACAGG
rnacentral:rRNA from 1 species